UCUGGAUCACCAGACACAAGACAUGUGGCCAGACAGAAUUAUAAAACUAGCUGGAGCACAGUCGGGGUUAGUGGCUCUGAACACAGAUGGAACCUUAGUGGGGAUCUCUGCAUGUGGUUUGGCUAUAUGGCUGAGUGGCUUGGGGUGGCUGAGCGAACCGGUGGCGGUGCUGUGCUGGGCGGCUACGGCUCCACAUGCUCCCGACCGCCGGUUGAGACCGUUGGCGGGGUCGACUGAAAGGAUUGUAGAAGAGUUGGAGUCAUCAUUGAAUGACGUUUCCUGUGCACCAGUCUCAUCUCCAUAUAACACAGAUAAUGACUUCUUAUGUUAA
rnacentral:lncRNA from 1 species